UACGAUAUUCAUCAUUCAUCUAAAAUGAAUUAAGCGAGUAUAAAAGGUUGUGCAAUCGUCCUAACAUGAAAGAGAUUGGUAACAUAAACUCAAAAUCAUUUUCCAGACCAUGAUGACCCGUCAAUAAGCGCUAUAUAUAAUGAAAUGCAAUGCAACAUUAUGUAGCUCAACCACUAUGUGAGACGGAACUAAGAGAAACAAAACUAAACUAAUAGCCAUAAGAAAAAAUCUAAUAACGCUAUAUAUAAUGAAACGCAAUGCAACAUUGUGUAGCUCAACCACUAUGUGAGCCGAAUCUAAGAGAAACAAAACAAAACUAAUAGCCAUAAGAAAAAAUUUAAUAAGAAAAAUAUUAGAUCACAUUCAACCCUCAAGUUAUUAAAGAGAAAAAUAUUAAGAACUUUGUAAUACAUCACAUUCUUUUACAAAGUAUAUUAUUUAAAAUAGAGAACUUACAUAGCAAAUAUCAACUAACAAACUCUAGCAAACAUCGUCGGUUGAAGCUUCUUUGCCAAGAUUAGUAAAAUCUAAUAAGAAAAUAUAUUAACAAGACAAGCAAUUAAUAUAUUAUUUAACUAUCUUAAGCAANNN
rnacentral:lncRNA from 1 species